CCAGACUCCUACGGGAGGCAGCAGUGGGGAAUCUUCCGCAAUGGGCGAAAGCCUGACGGAGCAACGCCGCGUGAUCGAAUGAAGGCCUUCGGGUUGUAAAGAUCUGUUGACAGGGACGAAUAAGCAAUGCGAAUAGUUUUGUGUAUGACGGUACCUGUUUAGAAAGCUCCGGCUAACUACGUGCCAGCAGCCGCGGUAAUACGGAGGAUGCGAGCGUUAUCCGGAUUUAUUGGGUUUAAAGGGUGCGCAGGCGGAAGAUCAAGUCAGCGGUAAAAUUGAGAGGCUCAACCUCUUCGAGCCGUUGAAACUGGUUUUCUUGAGUGAGCGAGAAGUAUGCGGAAUGCGUGGUGUAGCGGUGAAAUGCAUAGAUAUCACGCAGAACUCCGAUUGCGAAGGCAGCAUACCGGCGCUCAACUGACGCUCAUGCACGAAAGUGUGGGUAUCGAACAGGAUUAGAUACCCUCGUAU
rnacentral:rRNA from 1 species